AUGAAAAUUCUCAUGUCCAUAGAGACCAGGAAGCUUAGAUUCUCACACUGUUUUCUUGCACUAGAUGCGGCCGAUGACGCAACUAAUAAUAAUGGCAUGGCUUUGGAGCGCCCCACUCCAGUGACAAACAAUCGGGGUGAAGAAGAAGAAGGUGGUUUCCACGUCUUGGCUAGCGUGAGGAGUGCCGCACUGGACACUCGGCGCUGUCGUCAACGUCCAUGGGUGCCUGUAUCUUGUUCAAGGCAAGUCUUGUCCCCACAUACGCCCAAGAGUGGGAUUUCUGGGCCACAUGCUAGUUCUAUAUUUAGUUUUCCGAGGUCCCUGCAUGGUGCUUUCCAUAGCGGCUGUGCCAAGUUACAUUCCUACCAACAGGGUGGGAGGGUACCCUCUUCUGCACACCCUCUCCAGCAUUUGUAAUUUCUAGCCUUACUAAUGAUGGCCCUUCUGACAGGUGCGAGGUGGUACUUCUUAGCAGCUUGGAUUUGCCUUGUUCUAAUCAUUCAUGGUGUUGAGCAUGUUUUCGUGUGCCUGUUGGCCAUCUGUCUAUCUUCCUUGGGUGACUGUCUAUUCAGUUCUCUUGCCCAUUUUUCAAGUGGGUCGUUGUUUGUGUUUGCUGUUGAUGGUGUCUUGUCUUAGGUUUAAGUCUUUAAGCCGUUUUGAGUUUCUUUUUGUGCACGGUUUGAGGGUGUUGUUUUCCAGUUUCCUGGAUUUUCAUGUGGCUGUCCAGCUUCCCAGCACCACGCGCUGAACAGACUGUCUUUUCCCCCCUUGACAUUCUUGCCCCCUUUGUUGAAGAAUAAUUGACCGUCGGUUUGGGGUUUAUUUCUGGGUUCUGUCUUCUGUUCCAGUGGUCUGUGUGUCGGUUUUGGUACCUUUGCCACACUGUCUUGCUUACCGUAGCUUUGUAAUAUUGACCGAAGUCUGGGAGAGGUGUGCCUCCUGCUUGGUUUUUGCUCCUCAGGAUUGCCUUGGCCAUUCCGGGCCUGUUUAGGUUCCGUGUAAAUGUUUGGACGGUUUUGUUCUAGUUCUGCGAAAACGAUCACGGAUAGGGAUGGCAUUGCAUCUGUAGAUUGCUUUGCGUAGAACGGCCAUUUUUAGGAUAUUCAUUUUUUCCAAGCCAGGAGCGUGGCCUAUGUCUGCCCUUCUUUGACUCCUCCUUAAUUUCCUUGAGUCAUGUUUUAUUGCUCUCGGCGCAGAGGUCUUGCAGCUCCUGGCUCAGGUUGGUCCCCAGAUGUUUAAUGCUUUGGGUUCUUCCUUGGACCCCUGCUUGAGUGGCUAAGAGGAAGGCCAUCCCCUCCCUGGAGUGAACACUGGGGGAGGUGUCUCCUUGCAAGCCUGGGGAGAGCAGCCUUCCUCCUGUUCCUUGGCCCUCUGCAGCUACCCGUGUGCACUCAGGGCUUUGCCAUCCCUUGUCUACGCCUCUCCUUGUUUUGUCUUCCUUCUUUCGCGUUUACACAGGGUCAUUUUUCUCAUGCAUCCUCCUCACCUGACAAAAAUAAAAAAGAACAAAGAGGAAAAGGGAGAGCUCUA
rnacentral:lncRNA from 1 species